AUGUCGGAAAAACAAGGGGAAAACACUGGAAAAAUAGUUGCAAUCAAGAUGAAUAAGGCUUUUGUAAAAGUGAAGGUGUUUGAGAGGGCACAUCAAGAUAGAAGCUCACCUCUCAGGUCCAUGGCCUCCAAAAUGGGGGCAACAGUUGUGGCAAUGGAGGAGAGGACAGAUGGAGAAGGGCAUGUCAAGGGGGGAGGUUUGGGAGUCUGCGACUGGGAAGGGGAAGGAGGAUUUGGUGCAUCGGCAUGA
rnacentral:rRNA from 1 species